rnacentral:rRNA from 1 species
UCCGGUUGAUCCCGCCAGAGGUUACUGCUAUCGAGGUUCGACUAAGCCAUGCGAGUCGAAUGUAGCAAUACAUGGCGAACUGCUCAGUAACACGUGGACAACCUGCCCUUAGGACGGGGAUAAACCCGGGAAACUGGGUAUAAUACCCGAUAGGUCUCGAUUGCUGGAAUGCAUCGAGAUUUAAAGCUCCGGCGCCUAAGGAUGGGUCUGCGGCCUAUCAGGUAGUAGUGGGUGUAGCGUACCUACUAGCCUACGACGGGUACGGGUUGUGAGAGCAAGAGCCCGGAGAUGGAUUCUGAGACACGAAUCCAGGCCCUACGGGGUGCAGCAGGCGCGAAAACUUUACAAUGCUGGCAACAGCGAUAAGGGAACCUCGAGUGCCAGGUUACAAAUCUGGCUGUCGAGAUGCCUAAAAAGCAUUUCAUAGCAAGGGCCGGGCAAGACCGGUGCCAGCCGCCGCGGUAACACCGGCGGCUCGAGUGGUAACCGUUAUUAUUGGG